rnacentral:rRNA from 1 species
UGGGGAAUUUUCCGCAAUGGGCGAAAGCCUGACGGAGCAAUGCCGCGUGGAGGUGGAAGGCCUACGGGUCGUCAACUUCUUUUCUCGGAGAAGAAACAAUGACGGUAUCUGAGGAAUAAGCAUCAGCUAACUCUGUGCCAG